AAACCAGCACCUCAAGUGGUCAGGAGGAUUAUUGGGCCUAAAGCAUCCGUAGCCUGUUCUGUAAGUUUUCGGUUAAAUCCAUUAGCUCAACUAGUGGGCUGCCGAAAAUACUGUAGAACUAGGGAGUGGGAGAGGUAGACGGUAUUCGGUAGGAAGGGGUAAAAUCCUUUGAUCUAUUGAGGACCACCUGUGGCGAAGGCGGUCUACCAGAACACGUUCGACGGUGAGGGAUGAAAGCUGGGGGAGCAAACCGGAUUAGAAACCCCGGUAGUCC
rnacentral:rRNA from 1 species